CCGGGUACAUGAUGAAUAAACCAAAUCACCAUCUUUCGGCUGAACUCGUGAUGGAUUUGCUCUUUACUGAUGAACCGG